AGCGGCGCACGGGUGAGUAACACGUAGAUCAUCUCCCCUCGAGUGGUGGAUAACCCUCCGAAAGGAGGACUAAUACAGCAUAAGACCACGACCCAUUGAGGUUGCGGUCAAAGCAGGCCACUACAUGUAAGCUUGCGCUUGAGGAUGAGUCUGCGGCCCAUCAGCUAGUUGGUAAGGUAACGGCUUACCAAGGCUAAGACGGGUAGCUGGUCUGAGAGGAUGAGCAGCCACACUGGAACUGAAACACGGUCCAGACUCCUACGGGAGGCAGCAGUAGGGAAUCUUGCGCAAUGGACGAAAGUCUGACGCAGCGACGCCGCGUGAGCGAUGAAGGCCUUCGGGUCGUAAAGCUCUGUGGGGAGAGACGAAUAAGGUAUGGCUAACAUCCAUGCCGAUGACGGUAUCUCCUUAGCAAGCACCGGCUAACUCUGUGCCAGCAGCCGCGGUAAGACAGAGGGUGCAAACGUUGUUCGGAAUUACUGGGCGUAAAGCGCGCGUAGGCAGCAGCGUGUGUCGGGCGUGAAAUCCCACGGCUCAACCGUGGAAGUGCACUCGAAACUGCGCAGCUAGAGUCUCGGAGAGGAAGGCGGAAUGCUUGGUGUAGAGGUGAAAUUCGUAGAUAUCAAGCAGAACACCGGUGGCGAAGGCGACCUUCUGGACGAUGACUGACGCUGAAGCGCGAAAGCGUGGGGAGCAAACAGGAUUAGAUACCCUGGUAGUCCACGCCGUANACGAUGAGUGCUAGG
rnacentral:rRNA from 1 species